GGAAUUGUUCGCAAUGGGCGCAAGCCUGACGACGCAACGCCGCGUGGAGGAUGAAGACCUUCGGGUCGUAAACUCCUUUCGACCGAGAUGAACACCCGCCGACCUAAUACGUCGGCAGGCCGACAGUAUCGAAGGAAGAAGCCCCGGCUAACCCCGGGCCAGCAGCCGCGGUAAUACGGGGGGGGCAAGCGUUGUUCGGAAUUACUGGGCGUAAAGGGUUCGUAGGUGGCCUGCUAAGUCAGACGUGAAAUCCCUCAGCUUAACUGGGGAACUGCGUCUGAGACUGGCGGGCUUGAGUGCAGGAGAGGAACGCGGAAUUCCAGGUGUAGCGGUGAAAUGCGUAGAUAUCUGGAGGAACACCGGUGGCGAAGGCGGCGUUCUGGACUGUCACUGACACUGAGGAACGAAAGCCAGGGGAGCAAAC
rnacentral:rRNA from 1 species